CAGCAGCCACGGUAACACGAAGGGGGCUAGCGUUGCUCGGAAUUACUGGGCGUAAAGGGAGCGUAGGCGGACAUUUAAGUCAGGGGUGAAAUCCCAGAGCUCAACUCUGGAACUGCCUUUGAUACUGGGUGUCUUGAGUGUGAUAGAGGUAUGUGGAACUCCGAGUGUAGAGGUGAAAUUCGUAGAUAUUCGGAAGAACACCAGUGGCGAAGGCGACAUACUGGAUCAUUACUGACGCUGAGGCUCGAAAGCGUGGGGAGCAAACAGGAUUAGAUACCCCCGUAGUCCCUGUCUCUUAUAC
rnacentral:rRNA from 1 species